AAAACCCUUUGUGUAAAAUGAACUUGAAAGCGUAACAAAGGCUGUAAAUUCCAAUGGAGUUGGCUCCUGCGACUUUCCACUCCUCUUGCUCGUUAUCAGUAACAGCUCCUUCUUCAAUUUUUUUUCGAGCCCAAUCACCUUCUCUCUCCUUCUUUAGAUACUCAACUCCAAAUGUUAAUUUAUGUUCUCAGUUCAAAGGUUUUUCGCUUACAAUUGUUGGGACUCAACGGCGGAGGUCUUCUCCGGCCGCCGUUAUUGGCGGUGCAACUGAAGUAUCUGAUGAUAGGCAAGAGGAGGAACUGACGGCGGCUGAUGAUGAUCCUGAAAGAAAAGAAAAAGGUAGUGUUGAUGAGGAUAAAAUGGUUGGCGUAUGUGACAAGCUAAUCGGGGUUUUCAUGGUUGACAAGCCUACACCUACUGACUGGAGAAGGUUACUUGCUUUUAGCAAGGAAUGGGACAAUAUUCGACCUCAUUUUUAUAGGCGCUGUCAAGAACGAGCAGAUAGUGAAAAUGAUCCUGGGAUUAAGCAUAAGCUACUUAGGCUAGCGAGGAAGCUGAAAGAGAUUGAUGAAGACGUGCAAAGACAUAAUGAACUUCUUGAAGUGAUCAAGAAGGCACCAUCACAGCUAAGUGAAGUUGUUUCUAAGCGUCGAAAAGAUUUCACAAAAGAAUUUUUUGUGCAUCUUUUCACUGUAGCACAAUCCUAUCAUGACAACCCGACUGAGCAAAAUGCUUUGGCAAAGCUUGGAAAUGAUUGUGUUGCUGCUGUGCAAGCCUAUGAUAAUGCAACAGAAAGCGUUGAAGCACUGAAUGCUGCCCAGCUGAAGUUGCAAGAUAUUAUCAAUUCUCCUUCUCUGGAUGCCGCUUGCAGGAAAAUAGAUGAUUUGGCUGCAAAAAAUCAACUUGAUUCAUCAUUGGUUCUGAUGAUCACAAAAGCAUGGUCGGCUGCUAAAGAGUCCAACAUGACAAAAGAUGAGGUAAAAGACAUACUAUAUCAUCUCUACAAGACUGCAGUAGGUAAUCUUCAGAGGAACAUUCCAAAGGACAUUAGGAUACUAAAAUAUCUUCUUAAAAUUGAGGAUCCUGAGGAACGUUUGUGUGCAUUGAAAGAUGCAUUUACUCCAGGAGAAGAACUUGAAGGAAAGGACGUGGACUGCCUGUACACGACCCCUGAAAAAUUACACACCUGGAUUAAGGCAGUGGUGAAUGCAUACCAUUCCAGUCAAGAAGGCACUCUUGUAAGAGAGGCUAGGGAUCUUAUGAAUCCAAACAUCAUCAAGAAGAUGGAGGAACUGAAGAAGCUAGUUGAAGACAAUUUCAUGUGACAACAGAGGUUAUGUUUGCUUAUUAUUGUUCAUGGAAUGCAUACUGCAUGUUUCAUGGAAACCAAAUAUCCCAAGCCAAGGGAGCUAAUUAGCUACUUGGAAUCGUUUUUAAAGGGAAAAGUGAUAGCAGCAUUGUUACGUGGCUCUAUUUUACUAAACAGUAACCUUAUAUCAAUCUAUCAGAGUAUCCAAAUCCAACCUUAAAAGUUGAACACUGGCCCAAUUGAAGCUCAAAAUGUUGGCUGAAACUCAGAUUCGCGAUUCUUGAUCAUCCUCUUCUGCCUUCUUUCAAUAGUCUUCUCCAUGAUUUCAUCAGAAUACUGACGUUUCUUGUCAGCAAUAACAACUGCCUGAGACUCUGAAGAAGCAGUUGUAGAAAUUGCUGAUACUGGUAUAGUCAUACCCAUCUGGUUCUCUCCAUAUCCACCGUGAUCAUGCCCGAUAAUCGAUGACUUGUCAUGAUAAACUGAUGAUGAUGAUUCAGAUGCAUGAAAAUUAGUCGAAGAAUCCAAAACACUCAUUUGCUGUCUUUGCACGGCUGCCAUUUGCAGUUGUAGCCAAUCUGCCAUUGGAUCAUGCAUUCCCACAAUAGGUUGAUGAUGAUGAGGAAUAUUAAACAAACCAUUUUGAUUAUUCCCUAUGUUUGUAACACCGGAUCGAACCAAGAAAUCUUCAAGAGUAGUUUCUUGAUGAA